UGUACUGUCACUCAUUAAGGCAGAGGCAGUCUGGGAUUUUGGAGACACAGGUGGACGCUGAGGCAGACAAGGACACACAGGGAGAGGAGGAGAGCACGCACAUGGUUGAGAGAGGACAGCUGGGACAGACCCCUGAGGGAUGCUGGACGUCAAAGGGGGGCUAACGGACAAGAAGCCAGGACAGGACGCUGAGCAAGCGCAGUUAAAGAGGAGGACCUGGAAGCCAGCGCAACUGUCGAAACCAGACAGAGGAGAAUGGUCUAGAGUGGGACUGAAAGCUCUACGGCCCAUGGGGGCAGGAGAGUCCAUAAGAGGAAGCAGUGGAGACCCUGCGUCAGGCUGCCCCUCAGCCUGAAGAAAAAUACCUGCGAUGUAUUUUCACCGACUCCAUCCCACUCUCCAGAGGGCCUGGGUAUAAAACAAUGCAGGGAAGAAGGUUUAUUUCCAAGGAAGCUUCUACAAUUGAAAACAAGGCUUUAAUGUAUCCCAAUCUGAUGACUAUACAGCUUUCUUUUUAAUCAGGAUGCUGUGAGUAGGAUGGUACUUAUUCACAGGACUAGAGUCAAUAUCUGAAGAAGAUACUGAUUCCCGAGGGCCCACUGAAAUACGUUAAAAGAGCCACAAUGUGGGAAAUUUGAUCACGGAUUUCAGGGAGACCAAAGGCUGAAGGCUAUUAAAAAAUUUUUUAAACAAAAUUAAACGCCUAGGAUUUGGUAUUUAAUCUGUGAAAUCAUCAGUUUAAUUAUAUUUGCAGAAGAUCAUUCUUUGGCACAGAGGAGGGAAAACCCUCUCUCAGUCCUUCAGAGAACACAAAACCAGGCAGGACAAACAAGGUGAAGCAUAACAGCCUCUUUCAAGGACCCUGAUUUCCCGGCUGCGGUCGGCACACUUAGCUCAGAGCGCCCUCUUCUGGACCUGGGCUCCACUGCACCAGCCUGGGCCCAGCCCACCAAAGGCAGGACAAGUCUGAUUUUCAGUCUGGAAAGCGGCUCCAAUUCUAGCUUCAACACAUCUUUGAGUUUCUUCUGCCUUAGCCACUGAAACCCCAAGAUGUUCUUUUUCAAUAUUUGUGCUACAUUUUCAGGUUACACAGGACUCUGCCUCCUCUUAAGAAUGAUUCCUUGGUGACUCUUUUUUUAAAAAAAAAUACCCUCCUCAGAUCUGAGCUAAGCCACUGGGAUUCCCCGUACGUUUGUUAACUGUCGGGAAUAAAGUCAUAAUUUUGGAUAAGUGGGAACUAGGUCUAGAAACCCACAGAGAACGUCAAACAGUUGUAUGUGUCAUUACCCAAUGCACUUGAGCAAAGUCUGUUUAAGACUGUGGGUUUUUGUCUCAUUCCAGAAAAGUUGUCAGAACCUUAGGUCAGCCUCAUAUUUCCUCUAUUCUUUUAACAAAUAUUGCCAAGCACCUACUAUGUGCCAGGGGUGUUCACAAUGGGGGACAAGAGGAGGAUAGUGUCACUUUAAUCCCUCAUGUGUUUUUACUGCAAAACAGCUGAAAAUCUAUGAGCGUCAUAAUGGGUUACUGGAGCCUCAAUAAAGUUCUUUCCAAUUACCUGUUAA